GAUUGUGUAUCUAUCCCAAUUAGUACUGACAAGAAGUGUUAUCAGAGAAACCUGGAAAUCUUCAUGAAUACUGCAAAAACAGCCUUCAAAAAUAGUGACACAAGCGAGGCCAUUUGUGGCAGUCUGGGAAAAAUCCAGAAACUUCCUCUGCCUGGAUGCACCUCAGGGGAAUGUAACUGCCGUGAAGCCAUUU